AGCAGAAUUAAAGCUCAAACUUAUUGACUAAUCAAUUGAGGUUAUAAGAGUAAUUUCAUAUAGAAAAAGUGGGGUUAAAUGGAUGUCUCAUUUCGGACACCACCAAACGUAGCGAUUUUACCAACUCUGGAAAACAAGGUAAGCAGCUAGCAAUGGGUUAGAGGAGGAGGAUGGGAGAAAGAAAUUUUGUUUAUACACAAUUAUAAAAGGGACCUUUUGGUUAACUGGAAAAAACUGACAUUAUAUGGGUAAAACACCUACUGGCAAGGAGCUAGCUCGCGAGUUACUUAUCGCAAUAUCUAGUUCUGUACCUGAUACUGAUCUGAAUGCAGAACAUGCAUCUAAAAAUAUAGAAGCUACAAAUGGUGCUGCAGUAACAAAGACUGAUGGAGCUGAAAAAUAUAGGUCUGAACUGAUCUCUAUAUCCUAUGCCCAGUCUCCUGAUGAUCAAGUGCCCCCGGUUGUGCUUAGGAACCAUGUGGGUUAGUGAGGACUAAAUUGACAUGGGAAAUUUAAUAAAAUACAGUGUGUAGUGAAUGUUUUGUGAAACUCUUUGUUGUGUCGUAUGAUUUUACACCUAAUGUUGGUUUGCUUUGCACUUAAUUGUCUCCAUGUUACUAUAAACAAGGGAACAUAUAUCUGUACAGACUAUGUUGUGAUUAAAGUGGAAGACCUGUUUUGUUUAUUAGACAA